rnacentral:snRNA from 1 species
CUAUGUGAUGAUACCCCAAUGUCUGACCACUCCGUAGUAGGUCCAUGGUGUGUAAAUGAUGGACUGCGUA